rnacentral:tRNA from 1 species
UGGGUUGUGUUGCGGUCGCUUUGGACACUAACACUGGCAGUGUUGAGGUCGGCGGUUCGAUCCCGCCUAGCUCCACCA